rnacentral:tRNA from 1 species
GCUGGGGAUGUGGCUCAAGCAGUAACGCGCUCGCCUGGCAUGCGCGGGGCACUGGGUUCGAUCCUCAGCACAGCA